AGCAGCCGCGGUAAUUCCAGCUCCAAUAGCGUAUAUUAAAGUUGCUGCAGUUAAAAAGCUCGUAGUUGAAUUUCGGGACCAUCAUGUUGGUCGUGCCUCGGUACGUACUGGCAUUGUUGGUUUCUCCCUUCUGACGAACCAUGAUGUCAUUUAUUUGGUGUCGUGGGAAAUCAGGACUGUUACUUUGAAAAAGUUAGAGUGUUUAAAGCAGGCUCACGCUUGAAUACAUUAGCAUGGAAUAAUGAAAUAGGACGUUUGAUUCUAUUUUGUUGGUUUCUAGGAUCGACGUAAUGAUUAAUAGGGAUAGUUGGGGGCAUUAGUAUUCAAUUGUCAGAGGUGAAAUUCUUGGAUUUAUUGAAGACUAACUACUGCGAAAGCAUUUGCCAAGGAUGUUUUCAUUAAUCAAGAACGAAAGUUAGGGGAUCGAAGACGAUCAGAUACCGUCGUAGU
rnacentral:rRNA from 1 species